GUGGGGAAUAUUGGACAAUGGGCGCAAGCCUGAUCCAGCCAUGCCGCGUGAGUGAUGAAGGCCUUAGGGUUGUAAAGCUCUUUCAGUGGGGACGAUAAUGACGGUACCCACAGAAGAAGCCCCGGCUAACUUCGUGCCAGCAGCCGCGGUAAUACGAAGGGGGCUAGCGUUGUUCGGAUUUACUGGGCGUAAAGCGCACGUAGGCGGAUCGUUAAGUCGGGGGUGAAAUCCUGGAGCUCAACUCCAGAACUGCCUUCGAUACUGGCGAUCUUGAGUCCGGAAGAGGUAAGUGGAACUCCUAGUGUAGAGGUGGAAUUCGUAGAUAUUAGGAAGAACACCAGUGGCGAAGGCGGCUUACUGGUCCGGAACUGACGCUGAGGUGCGAAAGCGUGGUGAGCAAACAGGAUUAGAAACCCGUGUAGUCC
rnacentral:rRNA from 1 species